GACAUGAUGGCCGAGUGGUCUAAGGCGGCGGUUUUAAGUUACGAUUUUGGUCGGAAUUAACACCGCUCUCGAAAGAGGCGUGAGUUCAAACCUCACUCAUGUCA
rfam:Oidiodendron maius Zn unplaced genomic scaffold scaffold_4, whole genome shotgun sequence.